rnacentral:ncRNA from 1 species
CCUACGGCUUAAUUUGAUUCAACACGGGGAAACUUACCUGGUCCAGACAUAGUAAGGAUUGACAGACUGAGAGCUCUUUCUUGAUUCUAUGGAUGGUGGUGCCUGGCCGUUCUUAGUUGGUGGAGCGAUUUGUCUGGUUAAUUCCGUUAACGAACGAGACCUCAGCCUGCUAACUAGCUAUGCGGAGGUAUCCCUUCGCGGCCAGCUUCUUAGAGGGACUACAGCCUUUUAGACCGCGGAAGUUUGAGGCAAUAACUGGUCUGUGAUGCCCUUAGAUAUUCCCGCGGCGAGCGCGGG